rnacentral:rRNA from 1 species
UACAGAGGUCUCGAGCGUUGUCCGGAAUUAUUGGGCGUAAAGGGCUCGUAGGCGGUCCAUCACGUCGGGAGUGAAAAGCUGGGGCUUAACCCCAGUCCUGCUUCCGAUACGGGUGGACUAGAGGUAGGCAGGGAGAACGGAAUUCCUGGUGUAGCGGUGAAAUGCGCAGAUAUCAGGAGGAACACCGGUGGCGAAGGCGGUUCUCUGGGCCUUACCUGACGCUGAGGAGCGAAAGCGUGGGGAGCGAACAGG